rnacentral:lncRNA from 1 species
CGAAAAUGGAAGUGACACUGUCAGCAGUGUGACCCUCACAGCUGUGCAUCCACUGGGACCCAGAAGAAAUUGCCUUUAAAUGCCGAUAGGAAAUGCCAUAGGAAUCUGGUCAGCAGAGCAUCAUGUUUGCGCUCUGAUUUGGCACUCUUCAGUCCAGCACAGAGAGAGCACUACUGGCUGCUGACACCAGAAAAAACAAGGGGUUUUCAAGGCUGCAGUGUUAAGAAAGAAACUGUCCUCCACUCAUCAGGAGAAGAGAGUUCAGUGGAUAUGAGCUGCCCACACUGGCUGGCGAUCUGCUGGGAAGGAACACUUCUCGGAGAGUUUCACUAUGAAAGCCGUCAGUUCUCCUGACUUGGUAAGAACAGUUUUUUCCCAUGUGAUACUUAUCCUAUUGAUUUUAAUAGAAACACACUUUUAUUGCACUUGGAGAUAUGCAAAAUGCAUCUAAAGUGCAGUGAAUUUGCUCAGUCUUGGCAUCUUCAUUCUCAAGAGCCUUUUCAAAAUGUAAAUUAGAGACAAAGACUACAGAAAGAGAAAUUUUAGAGCACAUGCUAAUUGCAGAAAUCUGAGAUGGUUUCUCUGAAUGGUAGGUUGUCAGUCAGGCUUGAAUUAAUGUGAGCUCUAAGGAUUUGUAUUGCUCGCUUAGAGUAGCUCAAGAGGAAACAUGAACCUUUGCACUCAGAGGGACUGCAGAGCUAACUCCCAACUCGAUCCUCUUGCUCCCAAAGCUCUUUUAGUUAUUGUGAUCUUGUUAUCAUAAUUCAGCAACUUUAAAAAUGAAUCCUAUGCAGAUCAGUUAGUCAGGAAGUGAAAA